rnacentral:rRNA from 1 species
AGAGUUUGAUCAUGGCUCAGGACGAACGUUGGCGGUGCGCUUAAUGCAUGCAAGUCGAGGGAGAACCAGUCGUUCCGUAAGGUUCGGCUGGGGAAACCGGCGAACGGGUGCGUAACACGUGAGGAACCUGCCCCGAAGACCGGGAUGGCCCGAGGAAACUCGGAUUAAUACCGGAUAUCCUCUUUGGACCACAUGGUCUGUUGAGGAAAUGGUCUGCCGCUUCGGGAUGGCCUCGCGGCCUAUCAGCUUGUUGGUGAGGUAAUGGCUCACCAAGGCAAAGACGGGUAGCUGGUCUGAGAGGACGAUCAGCCACACUGGGACUGAGACACGGCCCAGACUCCUACGGGAGGCAGCAGCAGGGAAUAUUGCACAAUGGGCGAAAGCCUGAUGCAGCGACACCGCGUGCGGGAUGAAGGCCUUCGGGUUGUAAACCGCUUUCAGGAGGGAAGAAAAUGACGGUACCUCCAGAAGAAGGCCCGGCUAACUACGUGCCAGCAGCCGCGGUAAUACGUAGGGGCCAAACGUUGUCCGGAUUUAUUGGGCGUAAAGGGCUCGUAGGCGGUUCAACAAGUCGGUCGUGAAAACCCGGGGCUCAACCCCGGGACGCCGGUCGAAACUGUUGUGACUAGGGUCCGGUAGAGGUGAGUGGAAUUCUCGGUGUAGCGGUGGAAUGCGCAGAUAUCGAGAGGAACACCAGUAGCGAAGGCGGCUCACUGGGCCGGUACCGACGCUGAGGAGCGAAAGCAUGGGGAGCAAGCAGGAUUAGAUACCCUGGUAGUCCAUGCCGUAAACGAUGAACACUAGGUGUGGCGGAUUCAUUGACAUCUGCCGUGCCGUAGCUAACGCAUUAAGUGUUCCGCUGGGGAGUACGGCCG